rnacentral:rRNA from 1 species
ACUCCUACGGGAGGCAGCAGUAAGGAAUAUUGCGCAAUGGGCGAAAGCCUGACGCAGCGACGCCGCGUGGGGGAUGAAGGUCUUCGGAUUGUAAACCCCUUUCGGGAGGGAAGAUGGAGCGAGCAAUCGUUCGGACGGUACCUCCAGAAGCAGCCACGACCAACUUCGUGCCAGCGCCGCGG